AGCGAACGCUGGCGGUAGGCCUAACACAUGCAAGUCGAACGGUAACAGGUCUUCGGAUGCUGACGAGUGGCGAACGGGUGAGUAAUACAUCGGAACGUGCCUAGUAGUGGGGGAUAACUACUCGAAAGAGUGGCUAAUACCGCAUGAGAUCUACGGAUGAAAGCAGGGGAUCGCAAGACCUUGCGCUACUAGAGCGGCCGAUGGCAGACUAGGUAGUUGGUGGGAUAAAAGCUUACCAAGCCGACGAUCUGUAGCUGGUCUGAGAGGACGACCAGCCACACUGGGACUGAGACAAGGCCCAGACUCCUACGGGAGGCAGCAGUGGGGGAUUUUGGACAAUGGGCGAAAGACUGAUCCAGCCAUGCCGCGUGCAGGAUGAAGGCCUUCGUGUUGUAACCUGCUUUUGUACGGAACGAAAAUACUCUGGUUAAUACCUGGGGUCCAUGACGGUACCGUAAGAAUAAGCACCGGCUAACUACGUGCCAGCAGCCGCCGCGG
rnacentral:rRNA from 1 species